AGCAGUAUUGAACUGAAGAGUUUGAUCAUGGCUCAGAUUGAACGCUGGCGCAGGCCUAACACAUGCAAGUCGAGCGGAUGAAGGGAGCUUGCUCCUGGAUUCAGCGGCGGACGGGUGAGUAAUGCCUAGGAAUCUGCCUGGUAGUGGGGGAUAACGUCCGGAAACGGGCGCUAAUACCGCAUACGUCCUGAGGGAGA
rnacentral:rRNA from 1 species